rnacentral:tRNA from 2 species
ACCCGGGUGGUGGAACUGGUAGACACGCAGGACUUAAAAUCCUGUGACACUUAAAUGUCGUGCGGGUUCGAUUCCCGCCCCGGGUA